CAUGCAUCAGACAAAUCCCAGCAGAAGGACGUUAUACAAAAUACCUGACCACUUCUCAAACCUGCCAAGAUCAGCAAAAACAAAUAAAUUCUGAGAAAUGGUCAUAGCCAAAUAGUGCUAAGGAGAUGAUGCCUAAAUGUAACACAGUCUUCUGGAUGGGACCCUGGGACAGAAAAAGAACAUUACAUAAAAUUGAUUUCUUGGUGCCCACCAACAGCUGCAGACGAUCUUCCAAGGAAAUGCACCUUGGCUCCAGUACCACAAG